rnacentral:rRNA from 1 species
UACGGGGGGGCAAGCGUUGUUCGGAAUUACUGGGCGUAAAGGGCGCGUAGGCGGCCUGCUAAGUCGAACGUGAAAUCCCCGGGCUCAACCCGGGAACUGCGUCCGAUACUGGUAGGCUUGAAUUCGGGAGAGGGAUGCGGAAUUCCAGGUGUAGCGGUGAAAUGCGUAGAUAUCUGGAGGAACACCGGUGGCGAAGGCGGCUCACUGGCCCGAUACUGACGCUGAGGUGCGAAAGCGUGGGGAGCAAACAG